ensembl:lncRNA
AUGUUCAUUGGCCACAGAGUUUAUUUCCUGCAAUAAUCCAAAACCAAUUUAAAAAAAAAAUUGUCAUUAGCUACAGACAGUUUCAUAAAACAGCACUUUAACAUGAAAGAAUUACUCUGAAAAGACCAAGACAGCAGUGCUUUUCACAAUAUUAUCUCAUUGAAAAGAACAAUAGAAAAUAUUUGAAGCUAUAAGGGCCAUAAAAAUACAUUCACGACUGGCCUCUUUGCAAACAGCAGUCAAUAAACCCUGUAAAACAUGUGUUCAUUAUAUGUGGUGACAUGACCCCAAGAGCCCUAUUAAUGUGUUUAUUUGCAUUGUCCAUUCCCAGAUCUUUGCCAAAGUGUGGGAAUUAUAUCGCUUCCCUUUAGAGUGACAUCUGUGGGAUCUUUCUCUGUUUCGACAUUUGAGACAAUCGUGUGGAACGCUGAGAUGUACAAUGAGAGAGAUGCUGGGAGAGAUAUAUGAUACUGUGAAGAACGGGCUAAUCUCCCUUCCAAUCUGUCUGGCUUUUUCCAUCCAUCGAUUUUUUUUUUCUGCAAAAAGCCUUACAUAACUUGGCUGAAAAACAACAUACAUAUAAUCUGUAUGUCACAGAUGUCACUGUAAUCUCAGUGUUUAUGAUCAGUUUCUAUAGGAGCCCAAAGCUUUUGAAGUCUACACGAUCUCUCACAAAUGAGCCUCAAUUCUGCUAAGCUAAUUAUAUUUGCUGUAUUUGCUACCUACUGUACUGCUAAACCCAUCCUCCCCGCAAGAGUGCAGUAAGAUAUAAAUUGGCUGCGUUUAGAUUGUUUAGCCAAUGGACCUUUUUCUCAUUUCCGGGUUUCUCACACAGACUGUAUAAAAACACGGACGUAGUGUCCGUGAUGUCACCCGUAGUUUUCUGAAGAGCGUUUUUGAAGCUCAAAGUGGGUGGAGCGGGCCGUUGCCAUCUUGGCAGCGCGUCACUCCCGGAUCAUCGAAAUGGGCAAAAAGGCGGAGCUGAAGCCACGGAUAAUUUAAACGGAUGAGUUAUAAAAAAAAUGUUGUCAUGAAGGGCAAAAUUAGCUAUAGACCAAAAUCAUUUUCUGAACCAGGCUGUAAACGUUUUUUUUUUCUGCUGUGAAGUUGGGCAUUUUAACAUGGGGAGUCUAUGGGAUUACUCUCUUUUGCAGCCAGCCUCUAGCGGCCAGUGGACGAAUUACAGUUUACGUCACUUCCGUGUUGGUUUCACGAGAGAGAGCGGGAGGUUGCCGCUUGGUUUCUCAGCAGGGUAGUCAUCCUAAUUGGGUUAACUUGAAGAGCAGUCAAUGGUAGAGUAGGCUACCACAAAUAUAUUUUUUGCAUUCCCAUUUGCUCAAAUAGCAAAAGAAAAACUCCACGAUAGUGUUUUCAUGACUUUCAAUAAAACGAAAAAAAAAUUGAGAGAGACUGAUAACGGCAGUCAGAAGAGAGAACCGUGUCAAAUUUACCAUUGCUCCCAUAGACGCUGCAUUAGAAACACUCUCGCAUGAGCGUUAACUGUUGUUUUUUUUUGUGUGUGUGUGUGUGUGUGUGUGUGUGUGUGUGUGUGUGUAAUCUGAAGCAAAGUUAUUAUAAUACAAUGAAUAGUGUUAUAAAUGUACAUGUUUGUAAAAAUACAGAUAUGAAAGACUUUUGAGGAUUUACCAUGCUGAUGACCGUUAAACACAUCAUCACAGUCCUGUGAAAAGGGUUCAUCAGAACACUUUUGAAGCGCUUUCUACCAGCCAGUAAUAGGCUAUAUGCACACUCACUUCCGCAUUCCAAGUCGGCCAGCCAGGUUACAUCCGGCGUCGACGGCGCACAUAGCGUCAAUAACAACUAUGGCAUUUUUCACUCGGUCCCUUCAAGAUGUCCCAAAGGUAACGGUCAACGACGUGAGUCGAAUCAUACAAAAGUUAUGUCACACUUCGACAACCAAGAAAGAGAAGGGCUUCAAAUUGUAUGUGUCAAGCUACAUCCACAAUUUUGAAGAUUGUGCUUGGGGAUGCCCGUCCUGUGCAGCUACAAAGCUGCCAGUGUACCUGUGUGGCAGGUACAGCUGUGUGUAAUCAUGUGGCAGCACUGUUGUACCAGACUGCACAUUAUUGCCAGCUUAGCAUCACCUCUGUUCCCCCAACACACAGCUGCACAGAGACUGAACAGAAGUGGCAUAAGCCAAGAUCCAUGGGUGUUAAACCUGGUCUUGUAAAUGACAUGGUAAUUCUUUCAGCCAGACCCAAGGAACGAAAACUGAUGGAAGGCAUUAGGUUAGUAUUAUUUUUAUUAUCAUUAAAGGAACACUCCACUGUUUUUUCAUAUUAAACUAUGUUAUUCCCUUAACCCAUAUAUUAAGAUCAGUGAGGGCACACACACAUUAAGGAAAUCUCAUUCCUACUUUUGGCAAAUCCAGGGCCAGAUGUUGAUUUCUGGUUUAGACUGGUGUGACUUUGUUGUCUACACACAGGAGGACAUGUUUAUUCAGAGGAUUCCCAGAGACAAUGAAAUCACCAAAACAAUGAAAGUAAAAAUUGAUUUUUUUUAUUUUUAUUGUUACCUCUUUGCUUCCCUAAAUAAUUAGAUUCUGAUUGCCUGUCACACUUCUUUAUAGAGUGCUGUUAAUUUCUCUUUUCUCCAUUUCUCUUACUGGCAGUAACUCUUAUUAGUUCA